ACCAGGGGUGGCAGUACAUACCUGUAGUCCCAGCUCCUCAGGAGGCUGAGGCAUGAAGAUGGCUUGAGUCCAGGAGUUUGAGAGCAGCUUGGACAACACAGCAAGACCCCAUCUCUA
rnacentral:sRNA from 1 species